UGGGGAAUUUUGGACAAUGGGGGAAACCCUGAUCCAGCCAUCCCGCGUGUGCGAUGAAGGCCUUCGGGUUGUAAAGCACUUUUGGCAGGAAAGAAACGUCAUGGGUUAAUACCCCGUGAAACUGACGGUACCUGCAGAAUAAGCACCGGCUAACUACGUGCCAGCAGCCGCGGUAAUACGGAGGGUGCAAGCGUUAAUCGGAAUUACUGGGCGUAAAGCGUGCGCAGGCGGUUCGGAAAGAAAGAUGUGAAAUCCCAGAGCUCAACUUUGGAACUGCAUUUUUAACUACCGGGCUAGAGUGUGUCAGAGGGAGGUGGAAUUCCGCGUGUAGCAGUGAAAUGCGUAGAUAUGCGGAGGAACACCGAUGGCGAAGGCAGCCUCCUGGGAUAACACUGACGCUCAUGCACGAAAGCGUGGGGAGCAAACAGG
rnacentral:rRNA from 1 species